rnacentral:rRNA from 1 species
AGUGAACGCUGGCGGCAGGCCUAAUACAUGCAAGUCGAACGGCAGCACGGCAGAGCUUGCUCUGUGGGUGGCGAGUGGCGGACGGGUGAGGAAUACAUGGGAAUCUGCCCAGUCGUGGGGGAUAACGUAGGGAAACUUACGCUAAUACCGCAUGCGCCCUUCGGGGGAAAGCCGGGGACCUUCGGGCCUGGCGCGAUUGGAUGAGCCCAUGUCGGAUUAGCUAGUUGGCGGGGUAAUGGCCCACCAAGGCGACGAUCCGUAGCUGGUCUGAGAGGAUGAUCAGCCACACUGGAACUGAGACACGGUCCGGACUCCUACGGGAGGCAGCAGUGGGGAAUAUUGCGCAAUGGGCGAAAGCCUGACGCAGCCAUACCGCGUGUGUGAAGAAGGCCUUCGGGUUGUAAAGCACUUUCAGUGGGGAGGAAAAGCUGGUGGCUAAUAUCCAUCGGCCGUGACGCUACCCACAGAAGAAGCACCGGCUAAUUCCGUG